ACUUUGAGAUUGACGAUUGAUCAUAGUAGAAUUGACCCUCAGUUUGGUUUAUCAAUCAUAAUUCUGUGCAUGAACCAAGGACAUGAUGUACAUUUGUACAUUAUAUAGGUAAUUGUCAUUGUAUUAAAUUUGUUACCCAUCUGAAAACAAUUUGUUUAAAAAAAAAAAAAAUUGUUUUCAGCGACUAAACAUCUUAUUUCUUACAAUGCACAAAUAGUAAUUGAUUAUAAGCCAUACUUUGGUUAGUAAAUUAUUAAAAUUAUUUGAUAUAGGUAGGUAUAAUUUUGUACGAUUAAGUAUGUAUAGUAUUAAAUGUAUAAAUUCACAACAUCAGUGUUGGAAAAAACCCACAUUACAUGGUAUUCAUUGUCAAUGACAUAAUCACAAGGGAAGUGUUGGACCUGGUAUCAAAUUUUCCAUUGGCCUAUUUUUUUUUUAUUAAAAUAUAUAGAUUGGCAAUGUCGACUUUUAGGUAUUUCUGAUCGCAUAUUCUCUACUUUAAGAUGAUCAUAACAUUCUUGCAGAAUAUCAAAAGUAUAUUAAUAUCUGAAAAUAAUGUAUGAAAAUUAAUAUAGCUAUUAUACAAACAUUACAUACCUACCUAAUAACUAAACAUUUUGUUCAUUAGAAUUGAUGGGUGAGUUUACAGUU